rnacentral:rRNA from 1 species
UUAUCUCUGUAGAGUCUGCAUAUCAAUAAGCGGAGGAAAAGAAACUAACAAGGAUUCCCCUAGUAACGGCGAGUGAAGCGGGAAGAGCUCAGAUUUGAAAUCUUCAAGGGUUUGACCUUUACGAAUUGUAGUUUAAAGAAGUGUUUUCUGUUAGAGGAGUUCGGUAAAAGUUCUUUGGAAUAGGACAUCAUAGAGGGUGAGAAUCCCGUAUUUGACCAGUUACUUUCUAGCGUUGUGAUACACUUUCAAAGAGUCGGAUUGUUUGGGAAUGCAGUCCAAGAUGGGUGGUAAAUUUCAUCUAAAGCUAAAUAUUGGCGAGAGACCGAUAGCGAACAAGUACCGUGAGGGAAAGAUGAAAAGAACUUUGAAAAGAGAGUUAAACAGUACGUGAAAUUGUCAAAAGGGAAGCGUUUGACACCAGUGUUGUUUUUCUCGAAAAUCAAUUAAAAAUGGAUUCAUGCUAAGUUGUAUUGACCUUAUCAGCUUGCAAUUUAGUUUUGGGUUUCUUUUUGAUGCACUUUUCGGUUAACAAGUCAACAUCAAUUUCCUUUGCUGUAAAAAGGCAGGAGGAAGGUGGCUUCAAUUUCGGUUGAAGUGUUUAUAGCCUUCUGUCUCUGCAGUCGGGGAGAUUGAGGUCUGCAGCGUAGAUCCUUCGGGGCUAGAUACAUUCGUGCUAAGUUAUAGCCUUUUAUAGACAACUUGUUGACUAUGAUUGGUCUUGUAAUUUACUCGCGAGUGCUAUUUUACCUACGCUUAGGAUGUUGAUCUACAGAGCGAGAGU